rnacentral:rRNA from 1 species
AAUGGGCGAAAGCCUGACGGAGCAACGCCGCGUGAGGGACGAAGGCCUCUGGGCUGUAAACCUCUUUUCUCAAGGAAGAAGAUAUGACGGUACUUGAGGAAUAAGCCACGGCUAAUUCCGUGCCAGCAGCCGCGGUAAUACGGGAGUGGCAAGCGUUAUCCGGAAUUAUUGGGCGUAAAGCGUCCGCAGGCGGCCUUUCAAGUCUGCUGUUAAAGCGUGGAGCUUAACUCCAUCAUGGCAGUGGAAACUGAUAGGCUUGAGUAUGGUAGGGGCAGAGGGAAUUCCCGGUGUAGCGGUGAAAUGCGUAGAUAUCGGGAAGAACACCGGUGGCGAAGGCGCUCUGCUGGGCCAUUACUGACGCUCAUGGACGAAAGCCAGGGGAGCGAAAGGGAUU